GUGCACGCUGGCGGUAGGCCUAACCCAUGCAAGUCGCACGGCAGCACAGUAAGAGCUUGCUCUUACGGGUGGCGAGUGGCGGACGGGUGAGGAAUACAUCGGAAUCUACUUUUUCGUGGGGGAUAACGUAGGGAAACUUACGCUAAUACCGCAUACGACCUACGGGUGAAAGCAGGGGAUCUUCGGACCUUGCGCGAUUGAAUGAGCCGAUUUCGGAUUAGCUAGUUGGCGGGGUAAAGGCCCACCAAGGCGACGAUCCGUAGCUGGUCUGAGAGGAUGAUCAGCCACACUGGAACUGAGACACGGUCCAGACUCCUACGGGAGGCAGCAGUGGGGAAUAUUGGACAAUGGGCGCAAGCCUGAUCCAGCCAUACCGCGUGGGUGAAGAAGGCCUUCGGGUUGUAAAGCCCUUUUGUUGGGAAAGAAAAGCAGCAGGUUAAUACCCCGCUGUUCUGACGGUACCCAAAGAAUAAGCACCGGCUAACUUCGUG
rnacentral:rRNA from 1 species